UACGUAGGGGGCUAGCGUUGUCCGGAAUCAUUGGGCGUAAAGAGCGUGUAGGCGGCCCGGUAAGUCCGCUGUGAAAGUCGGGGGCUCAACCCUCGAAUGCCGGUGGAUACUGUCGGGCUAGAGUGCGGAAGGGGCGAGUGGAAUUCCUGGUGUAGCGGUGAAAUGCGCAGAUAUCAGGAGGAACACCAAUGGCGAAGGCAGCUCGCUGGAACGGUACUGACGCUGAGGCGCGAAAGCGUGGGGAGCGAACAGG
rnacentral:rRNA from 1 species